UACGUAGGAGGCAAGUGUUGUCCGGAGUUACUGGGCGUAAAGCGGGUGUAGGCGGUACGCUGCGUCGAUGGUGAAAUCUCCCGGCUUACCUGGGAGGGGGCCGUCGAUACGAGCGGACUUGAGGGCGUGAGAGGCGAGUAGAACUCCCGGUGGACCAGUGAAAUGGGUAGAGAUCGGGAAGAAUACCAGUGGUGCAGACGGCUCGCUGGCGCGUACCUGACGCUGAGACCCGAAAGCUUGGGGAGCAAACAGG
rnacentral:rRNA from 1 species